rnacentral:rRNA from 1 species
AGCGAACGCUGGCGGCAGGCUUAACACAUGCAAGUCGAGCGGGCAUUCUGGUGUUGUCAGCGGCCGAGUGGUGAGCAACGCGUGGCAACGUGUUAUUCUGGUCGGAAUACCGCAGAACAACUUGAGAUAAUAACGGAUCCGUUCGAGGGCAGGAAGGUUUACCUUCCGAAGGACCGGCCUCCGUCUGAUUAGUUGGUUGGUGAGGUUAUGGCUCACCAAGGCGACGAUCAGUAGCUGGUCUGAGAGGAUGAUCAGCCACACUGGGACUGAGGCACGGCCCAAACUCCUACGGGAGGCAGCAGUGGGGAAUAUUGGGCAAUGGGGGCAAGCCUGACCCAGCCAUGCCGCGUGAGUGAUGACGGUCUUAGGGUUGUAAAAUUCUUUUAUCCGGGACGAUAAUGACGGUACCGGAAGAAUAAGCCCCGGCUAACUUCGUG